GGGACACGUGGUAUCCUGUCUGAAUAUGGGGGGACCAUCCUCCAAGGCUAAAUACUCCUGACUGACCGAUAGUGAACCAGUACCGUGAGGGAAAGGCGAAAAGAACCCCGGCGAGGGGAGUGAAAAAGAACCUGAAACCGUGUACGUACAAGCAGUGGGAGCACCUUCGGGUGUGACUGCGUACCUUUUGUAUAAUGGGUCAGCGACUUAUAUUCUGUAGCAAGGUUAACCGUAUAGGGGAGCCGCAGGGAAACCGAGUCUUAACUGGGCGUUAAGUUGCAGGGUAUAGACCCGAAACCCGGUGAUCUAGCCAUGGGCAGGUUGAAGGUUGGGUAACACUAACUGGAGGACCGAACCGACUAAUGUUGAAAAAUUAGCGGAUGACUUGUGGCUGGGGGUGAAAGGCCAAUCAAACCGGGAGAUAGCUGGUUCUCCCCGAAAGCUAUUUAGGUAGCGCCUCGUGAAUUCAUCUUCGGGGGUAGAGCACUGUUUCGGCUAGGGGGUCAUCCCGACUUACCAACCCGAUGCAAACUACGAAUACCGAAGAAUGUUAUCACGGGAGACACACGGCGGGUGCUAACGUCCGUCGUGAAGAGGGAAACAACCCAGACCGCCAGCUAAGGUCCCAAAGUCAUGGUUAAGUGGGAAACGAUGUGGGAAGGCACAGACAGCCAGGAUGUUGGCUUAGAAGC
rnacentral:rRNA from 1 species